rnacentral:lncRNA from 1 species
CUUACUGAAAGAAUAAAUCAUAGGGUGGCAGUUGCUGCUCCUCAGAAGAAACUGAAUUCUGAGUAGUGAUUAUUCUGAAUAGGAAGUGAGAAAUGGGAUUCAGGCAGAGAGUACAUGGCAACUUUCUGAGGUGACAGAGGGCAAUUCCUUUGAAGUCAUAAGCACUAUUCUGGAUAAGCUAUUAACAGGCAUGGAGGGUGGGAAGCAUGGGGGAGCAGAUUCCAACACAUUAGAGACCGAUGUUCUUUUGAGACAGGGGAAGCCAGUAAUGAUUUGAAGACAGAGUGAGCUCAGUGGAAGGUAUUACCAGCUGUGCGAAUUGAGCAAGUCUGUAAAUCUUUCUAAGUCUCGGUGGUCUUAUAAUAAGGGAUAAUUAGGGCUGCUGUGAAGAAUAAAUGCAUCAUUUAACACAGUGCUCUCAGAACAGAAGCCCAAGAAACAGCAGAGCUGUCACUGUGACCAGAACAAGGUAGCCUGCUGAAGGCCCGCAGCUUUCAUGUGCAGUACUCUAAAUUAUGCCUUUGUCUCAUUUGUUCUCCUUUGAAUUGCUCCCAGUGACCAGGGGAACAGUGGUACCUCAUACAUAACUCUAGCAGACCACGCAGAAGGGUGAGCAAGCUUCCUACACACUUUGUUUUAGCUUUCAUCACUAUCAGAAUUGGUUUUGUUCAUCCCAUUCAACCAGCAAGUGUGCAUCCAUCAUUCACCUGUAAAAACAGCCAUGAGAUAGUGGAACAGUUUAAAGCUUGUGAAAAAAGCAAGUCCCAUGAGAGUGAUGCUGCCUGCAGGUGGACAGACAUUUAUGGGUGUGGAUGGCAGCAAUGGAGGAUAAGCUGAGGUACUCAGAGACUCCCGGGGGCAGGUCAGCAGGCAGAUGGAAGUGAGACCAUGAAUAUUCCUGCCUUGGUAGGUGUUCAUAGCUCAGAGGGAUAAUUCUGAGGUUAUUGAAUUCUGCCUGACCCAUAGGUCUAGCCAAAUCUUUUCUGUUUGGGGUGUUCUUCUUCCUGCAGGUGGCUAUUGUUCUGAUUAGCCAGAUUCUGGG